rnacentral:misc_RNA from 1 species
GAUGAAGAACGUAGCGAAAUGCGAUAAGUAGUGUGAAUUGCAGAAUUCAGUGAAUCAUCGAAUCUUUGAACGCACAUUGCGGCCAUAGGUAUUCCUUUGGCCAUGCCUGUUCGAGCGUCAUUUACACCCUCAAGCCUAGCUUGGUGUUGGGCGCCUGUCCCGCCGUUUUCGCGCGCGGACUCGCCUCAAAGUCAUUGGCGGCGGUCGUGCCGGCCCCCUCGCGCAGCACAUUUGCGCUUCUCGGAGNCCCGGCGGAUCCGCGCUCCAGCAAGACCUUUCACGACUUGACCUCGGAUCAGGUAGGGAUACCCGCUGAACUUAAGCAUAUCAAUAAGCGGAGGA